rnacentral:rRNA from 1 species
GACGAACGCUGGCGGAAUGCUUAAUACAUGCAAGUCGAACGGGGCCAGUUAACUUGUUAACUGGUUUAGUGGCGGACGGGUGAGUAACGCGUUGACAAUCUGCCUUAUGCAGGGGGAUACCGUUUGGAAACGAACGUUAAUACCGCAUAGGUGUGCAUCUGAGAUGGUGUGCAUGAAAGGGUUUUAUAUCUGGCAUAAGAUGAGUCUGCGUAUGAUUAGCUAGUUGGUGAGGUAGUAGCUUACCAAGGCGAUGAUCAUUAGUUGGUCUGAGAGGAUGACCAGCCACAGUGGGACUGAGACACGGCCCACACUCUUACGGGAGGCAGCAGUAGGGAAUAUUGCGCAAUGGAGGAAACUCUGACGCAGCAAUUCCGCGUGUAGGACGAAGCUUUUUAGGAGUGUAAACUACUGUCAGUGGGGACGAAUUAUGACGGUACCCACAGGAGGAAGCACCGGGCUAACUACGUGCCAGCAGCCGCGGUAAU